GGAUUCAUCCUCAUAGAAUCAUGGAGCCACAGGAUCCUGGAGUGUUUGGGUUGAGAGGGACCAUAAAGAUCUCUUUGUAACCCCCCUGCCACGGGCAGGGACACUUUUCAGCAGCCCAGGUAGAUCCAAGCCCCAUCCAACAUGGCCUUGGACACUCCCAGGGAUGGGGCAGCCACAGCUUCUCUGUGCCAGGGCCUCACCACGCUCACAGGGAAGAAUUUCUUGCUAGUAUCUAAUCUAAAUCUACCCUAUUUCAGUUUAAAGCCAUUACCAUUCAUCACUGUACCCCCUAAUGUCUUGAACAUCUAUAUCCCCUCGAAGGAUCUGGGGGCAGUUCUGUCAUCAACAGAAAAAAAAUUUCAGGAGACUGGUAUUCAUAACCAUUAGGUGACUUCAGUGCUCAACAUCCACUGAUUUUAACACAGGAGAAGUUUUUAAAACUUCUUUUAUUUUCCUGAUUAGCUCCUAUGAACUCAGCUUCUGGGUGUCCAAGCUCUCACGAAAAAUCAAAGGAAGCCUGAAUGCAAAGCAAAAGCACAGUUGUCACUUUAGUUUACUCAUGCUUGUCCCAGAAAAUGAAAAGAGGCUUUUUCUCACUUUGUAUUUUUUUUUUUUUUUAAUGCACUCGUGCAACACAGUUGUGUUUGGAGUUAAACUUCUUAUUGUCAUGUUGGAAACCCAAACUGUGAAUGCAAAUCUCCUGAUGGCUCAGUACCAGACCUGUGAGUCUCAUUGCUGAGACAUCUUUGAAAAUUUGGCCUCAUUUUGUAGUGACAAAGUGACAGAUUCCUCUGGUAAGGAAAUUCUGGUGAGCAGAGUGCCUGGAGGUUUGGCUAAUUUGCUAGGAUUACAAUUUGGGUUUUAAUGACAGUAUCUUAGUUUUCCCUCAAACCAGCCAUCAAAAUAGAGCUCUGCUUCUAGAGAAAAGUAAAUCCACAAAGAUGCAAAAGUAGAUUUAUCCCAUCUGACUGGUGCUCCAAAGCUCCCAACUAAGCCUGUGUUCCCCUUGUCACAUUUCCUCUGCCAGAACCUGGGUCUGGUUUUAAUGUUCUCACAUUUUUUUGAGCAGCCAGGAUUCUUGGGAAGACAAUUUUCACCCUGUUUACUUCAGAAAUCAAUUGGGAUUUCUGUCUCACACUGAUCCUGAGCAUAAACCUUGUCUUCUCCUCUUAGGUCUUCAUUUCAGGACCCAGUGGGAUGGGUGGGAUGGUUCUCCUGCCAUCCUGAGCUUGUGCUGCUCUGUCACACAAAAGGGAAGCCUUGUGCCAGGAUCAAGUCCACCAACUCCUUCACAUGUUCAAAGACACCUUUUAAUGACAGAAAUUCUUCUCAAGCCCUUGCCAAUUAAGCCCACUUUAAUAACUCUGACCAUUUAUGUGACAUAUUUCAUCUUGGAAGAGCUAAUAAAAUCACAAAUUACUGUUCACAGUGCUCCCAAGAGGAAGCUCAUCAUUAUCACAUCCUCACUCCUUUGAUGGGGAAACUGAGGCAAUGUGUUUUAAGGACAAAGAGUGGAGUCUUUGCCAAACCACCCAGGUGAGUUCAGCGCUCUGCAUGCUCCCAUGUGGGACAAAAUCUUCUUCUGCAGGGCAUAAAGGGAGAAUCUCCUGGUUUUCCUCAUCAGAAACAUGCAAAGGUGAAAAAGGGUCAUGAAAAUGAUGUCUGCGGAUCUUCCAAUUCUCUGCUGGGCAUUUGAACUUAAAAUGCCAGCAAUGCUUCUCUCCCUUGCUCUCAAGAGGAAAGCUAUAUCUGGAGUAGGGCAACAUGCCUUAAUUUGAGAAAUUUAAUGCCUUCGAAGCGCUACCAAAGCACAAUUAGCAAAUAAAAAAACCCCAGAAGUCAAGGCAGGAGACCUGAGUAUGCAGUUCAAACAUCAAAGGAGUAUUACCUGUGCUUUCAUCUCCCUUUCCUCUUGUGAGUCAAAGAUACAACAUAUCACUGCAUAUUUUAAGCAUUUUCUGUUCUGAAAGCUUAAAUGUCAGUGUAAUUACCCCAAUGGUAAUUUCUGUUUGUUGUUCCAGGCUGGUACUUCAGCAGAAUCUCCCAAUUUUCACAUGAUUAUCUCCAUCUCUGCCUUUGAUAGGUUUGUGUCCAAUUCACUCUGGAUUUGAACUGCUUCACAUUCCUUGAAAAUCUGCUUUGAAUGCUGCCAAAGGAGGUAUGGUACUGACUGUUGUGGGGCAUUUUUGAUGUCCUUUUUCCCCAGGUUCCCCCAUCCUCUUUCCCAAGUGCAAGAUCACCUGGUUGCACCAAGACCCACAGUUCAGAGCAAUCUGUAAUGUAACCACCUGGAAUAGAGCAUAACUUUUACCUUUUUCUUUAUUUUCCACCUUUCUUUCUUUUGAAUAAACUUCACAGUUGAGGAUUAUUGACAAAUCUGCUUGAAAAAGACACACGAAGAGCAUCCUUUAUGGUCCAUCUUGUGGUAAAACACGGGCAUUUCUUUGCUCAUUUGAAUGUCAGUGGAUUAUUUAUGCUGGUGCAAUGUUUUCAAGAGAUAAAAUACUCCCCACUGUGCUACAUGCAAAUCUCUGCAAUGUAAACAUAAAUAGUUGUUGCACAUGCAUAAUCAAAGACAUUUUUUAUAAUUAUUGUUGGAUAGUUCAGUCCUCUAAUAGCAUCAUCUGGUGUAAAUCAGUGUAGCUCUACUGAAGCCUGCAAAGCCCCUACCGAUUUGUACCAGAUGGGGCUCAAACUCU
ensembl:lncRNA